rnacentral:rRNA from 1 species
CAAGGAUUCCCCUAGUAACGGCGAGUGAAGCGGAAGAGCUCAAAUUUAAAAUCUGGCGGUGUAUUCCGUCCGAGUUGUAGUCUAGAGAAGCAUCAUCCGCGCCGGACCAUGUACAAGUCUCUUGGAACAGAGCGUCAUAGAGGGUGAGAAUCCCGUCCUUGACAUGGACUCCCGGUGCUUUGUGUUGUGCUCUCGACGAGUCGAGUUGUUUGGGAAUGCAGCUCAAAAUGGGUGGUAAAUUCCAUCUAAAGCUAAAUAUUGGCGAGAGACCGAUAGCGAACAAGUACCGUGAGGGAAAGAUGAAAAGCACUUUGGAGAGAGAGUUAAACAGUACGUGAAAUUGUUGAAAUGGAAACGAUUGAAGUCAGUCGCGUUCUCUGGGAUUCAGCCUUGCUUCUGCUUGGUGCAUUUCCUAGUCUACGGGCCAGCAUGGAUUUCGACCGUUGGAAAAAGGCUGGGGGAAUGUGGCACUUCGGGUGUGUUAUAGCCCCUUGUCACAUACAUCGGUUGGGAUCGAGGACCUCAGUGCACGCUUCGGUUGUGCUUUGAUGCUGGCGUAAUGGCUUUAAACGACCCGUCUUGAAACACGGACCNNCANGAUCAACCUUCUGCGANUGUUUGGGUGANANAUCGGACGCGCAAUNAAAG